GUAUUUCCCUCUUUUGGAGACCCCAGGAUUUGGUGUAAAAAUGAGAUCCUUGAUCUUGGGGAUCUGUUUUGCCUUCCAGCUGUGCCUGCUUAUUGGACCCUAAAAACUGCAUGCUUUCCUGACCCUGUUCCCUAAAAGACUCCAACCUGAAGCCAAUAAUCCAAUCAAGAAACAGAUCUUUAAAAAGUCUCUCUGUGUAAGGUGGAGGUUGCAGUGAGCUGAGAUCACGCCAUUGCACUCCAGCCUGGGCAACAGAGCAAGACUCCGUC
rnacentral:lncRNA from 10 species